rnacentral:misc_RNA from 1 species
UCCCCCCAACUGGUUUAAAGAUGGCCUCAACAUUCAUUGGGAACUCAACUUCAAUUCAGGAAAUGUUCCGCAGGGUGAGUGAACAGUUCACUGCCAUGUUCCGUAGGAAGGCUUUCUUGCACUGGUACACAGGAGAGGGUAUGGAUGAGAUGGAGUUUACUGAGGCAGAGAGUAACUAUGAAUGAUCUUGUUUCUGAGUACCAACAAUACCAAGAUGCAACAGCAGAUGACGAGGGUUAUGAGUACGAGGAUGAAGAGGACAUUCAAGAAGAGGCUUAAAUGCUCUAUUUUUUGUGUUAGGUUGUAUGUUUGUUGCAAAUUUGUUGUGGAUUUAAUGUUUUCCUUUUGUACCUGAAUGCCUUAUUUGGGACUUCGGAUUGUGAUGUAUGGAUGUGUUUACUUGGAAAAUGUGAUAUUGUAGUUUAGGC